rnacentral:rRNA from 1 species
UGGGGAAUCUUGGACAAUGGGGGCAACCCUGAUCCAGCGACGCCGCGUGGGUGACGAAGGCCUUCGGGUUGUAAAGCCCUUUCGCCGGGGACGAUGAUGACGGUACCCGGAGAAGAAGCACCGGCUAACUCCGUGCCAGCAGCCGCGGUAAGACGGAGGGUGCUAGCGUUGUUCGGAAUCACUGGGCGUAAAGGGCGCGUAGGCGGCCUGGUUUGUCGGUUGUGAAAGCCCGGGGCUCAACCUCGGAACGGCACCCGAUACGGCCAGGCUGGAGGCCGGAAGAGGAGGGUGGAAUACCCAGUGUAGAGGUGAAAUUCGUAGAUAUUGGGUGGAACACCGGUGGCGAAAGCGGCUCUCUGGUCCGGACCUGACGCUGAGGCGCGAAAGCGUGGGGAGCAAACAGGAUUAGAUACCCGCGUAGUCC